rnacentral:rRNA from 1 species
UCUGGUUGAUCCUGCCGGAGGUUACCGCUAUCGAGGUUCGACUAAGCCAUGCGAGUCGAAUGUAGCAAUACAUGGCGUACUGCUCAGUAACACGUGGACAACCUACCCUCCGGACGGGGAUAAACCCGGGAAACUGGGUAUAAUACCCGAUAGAUCUCGACUGCUGGAAUGCAUCGAGAUCGAAAGCUCCGGCGCCAGAGGAUGGGUCUGCGGCCUAUCAGGUAGUAGUGGGUGUAGCGUACCUACUAGCCUACGACGGGUACGGGUUGUGUGAGCAAGAGCCCGGAGAUGGAUUCUGAGACACGAAUCCAGGCCCUACGGGGUGCAGCAGGCGCGAAAACUUUACAAUGCUGGCAACAGCGAUAAGGGGACCUCGAGUGCCAGGUUACAAAUCUGGCUGUCGUGAUGCCUAAAAAGCAUUGCAUAGCAAGGGCCGGGUAAGACCGGUGCCAGCCGCCGCGGUAACACCGGCGGCUCGAGUGGUAACCGUUAUUAUUGGGUCUAAAGGGUCUGUAGCCGGCCGGAUAAGUCUCUUGAGAAAUCCAGCAGCUCAACUGUUGGGCUUUCAGGAGAUACUGUUCGGCUCGAGGCCGGGAGAGGUGAGAGGUACUCAGGGGUAGGGGGAAAUCUUGUAUCUGAAGGACCACC